GGAUUAGAUACCCUGGUAGUCCACGCCCUAAACGAUGAACACUAGUUGUUGGAGGACUUUGAUCAUUCAGUAACACAGCUAACGCAUUAAGUGUUCCGCCUGGGGAGUACGGUCGCAAGAUUAAAACUCAAAGGAAUAGACGGGGACCCGCACAAGCGGUGGAGCAUGUGGUUUAAUUCGAAGAUACGCGAAGAACCUUACCAAGACUUGAAAUCCUAAGAAUUCGCUAGAAACAGUGAAGUGUCGGUUUACCGAAACUUAGUGACAGGUGCUGCACGGCUGUCGUCAGCUCGUGCCG
rnacentral:rRNA from 1 species